CAGUCGCCGCGGUAAUACGAAGGGUGCAAGCGUUAAUCGGAAUUACUGGGCGUAAAGCGCACGCAGGCGGUUUGUUAAGUCAGAUGUGAAAUCCCCGAGCUUAACUUGGGAACUGCAUUUGAAACUGGCAAGCUAGAGUCUUGUAGAGGGGGGUAGAAUUCCAGGUGUAGCGGUGAAAUGCGUAGAGAUCUGGAGGAAUACCGGUGGCGAAGGCGGCCCCCUGGACAAAGACUGACGCUCAGGUGCGAAAGCGUGGGAAGCAAACAGGAUUAGAUACCCGAGUAGUCCCUGUCUCUUAUAA
rnacentral:rRNA from 1 species